GACAGAAGGUGCGAACGUUGCUCGGAAUUACUGGGCGUAAAGCGCGUGUAGGCGGUUCGGCGAGUCGGGUGUGAAAGCCCGGGGCUCAACCCCGGAAGUGCAUUCGAUACUACCGAGCUGGAGUACUGAAGGGGAGAGCGGAAUUCCCGGUGUAGAGGUGAAAUUCGUAGAUCUCGGGAGGAACACCAGUGGCGAAGGCGGCUCUCUGGGCAGAUACUGACGCUGAGACGCGAAAGCGUGGGAAGCAAACAGGG
rnacentral:rRNA from 1 species